rnacentral:rRNA from 1 species
CCUACGGGUGGCAGCAGUGAGGAAUAUUGGUCAAUGGGCGCGAGCCUGAACCAGCCAAGCCGCGUGAGGGAAGACGGCCCUACGGGUUGUAAACCUCUUUUGCCGGGGAGCAACGGGCGCCACGUGUGGCGCCCCUGAGAGUACCCGGCGAAAAAGCAUCGGCUAACUCAGUGCCAGCCGCCGCGGUAAUACGGAGGGUGCGAGCGUUAGCCGGAUUUAUUGGGUUUAAGGGGUGCGUAGGCGGUGCGUUAAGUCAGUGGUCAAAUUGAGGGGCUCAACCCCUUCCCGCCAUUGAAACUGGCGCUCUUGAGUGGAAGAGAGGGAUGCGGAAUGCGUGGUGUAGCGGUGAAAUGCAUAGAGAUCACGCAGAACCCCGAUUGCGAAGGCAGCAUGCCGGCUUCCGACUGACGCUGAAGCACGAAAGCGUGGGGAUCGAACAGGAUUAGAUACCCUGGUAGUC